rnacentral:sRNA from 1 species
UAAUAAGAGAUCAAUUGCAGUAUUUUAGGAUAGAAUUCACGGAGUUCUUUUGUUCAAACAAUGAGUUAAAUAUCGAGAUUAAGCUAGCAGGGUAGUAGUAAAAAUGAAAGAGAACAAAGUAAAAAGACAACAGAUUGAUUGUGUUGUAAACGAUUUAAUAAAGAGCUAGGAACAGGGUAUUCUCAGGAAACUAUUGGUUUGUAGAUCUAAUGAAAGCUAGGUUGUUAUCGAACCGUUCUUAAACUCAAAUUCUAAUCAUGGAAUAACCGGUGGGCGUGCCGCGAAACUCCCUAUAUCUAUAGCUAAUAAUAACUGGAGAAGCCGAGAAACUAUCAACCUAAAUAUGCAUUCUUAACGAGUUCAAUUGUUCAUCUUACUAGAUAGACCGAUUCUUAUUACACACCUAUAAACCAGACUCAUCAAAUAAUAGAUCCAACUACAGAUACCUAUGGCGGGCAUAUCUAUUGUCUGGAUUCAAGAUCUAGUUAAUUACUCUAGAUCUAGCAUUAGGCAUAAUUAAAGAUGAAGAAUUCUAAAGAUAACCUAGUGAAACAACCCGACCCAUUUUUUUAAAACAUAAUUAAAUAUUCCCAUAAAUAUCUAAUUAAACCAACCAAUAAAAGAACAAUUGAACCGCAAGUCAAGAAUACUAUUUUAUGAAUAAAUAAAUAAUUAGACCAACAAAACCAAGAAUAACUAACAAUCCUUACCGGGUUCCAAUAACCAAAACACAAAAAUAAAUCAAACGAGUUCCUAGAUCAUACUCUCUUCCUUGCCAUGAUUCCACGAUCACACUUUAUCUUUACUUGCAUCAAAAAGAAAGAGAUGCGUAGAUAUUAUCACAAAUACUUAGUGAGGCGAUCCUCCCAUCUACGAGCUAUACACACAAGCAAGUAAAAGGGGUAUAAUCACAAAUACCACACAAACAAACCAGUCAUUGAACAAUUCACCAAAACACAUUCACCACAUUUACAUAUCAUCACACAAAACAAAUCACACAACCCAAUCGCUCAGAUAAGCUCAUGGUCACACACUCACCUUAACAAAUUGAUUCUAACAAUAAUUAAACCUAGGAGAGACUCUCCUUGCGUCUGAAAAAGUCCAGAAACGUCCUACAACAAGUCACAACCAAAAACAACCUUUAAAACAAACUGGACAUGAAAGACAGAAACAAACAGUCUCAAAGACGAAACCCUAAAAUAUAAAAUGACCGUUAACUAUUAAUUCCCUUUGGUGAAACGCUAGCCUUAGACGUCACGAAGCUUCCCACAAAGUAUCGUGCCGAUCGGAAAACAGACGAGACCACGAUCCUAGUUUCAAUCCUUGCAGGUUUUAAUUCGCGUCUGAGAAAACGUGUCUCACGAAACUUCGAAUAACUCAACCAAUUUUUUUCCAAAUCCAGUUCUGUAAACUGGAGAAUAACGACAAAACGACUUGGGAAUAACUCUACCAAAUUUCGUUACUUUUGACCACGAUUUGAUAUGACGAAACUGAACAAACCAUAACGAUUAUGCUCCUUCUCUUUCUCUAUCUUUUUCUCCUUUAUAAAACGAAAAGCGGCUAACUAAAUCCAUAAUUUCGAGUUUCCUUUUUUUCUAGGCACACUCUAGGGUUUCCAAUUAACCCAACCAAUUAAAGCGGAUGAUUUAAAAACAAAACCUAACCGAUUUUCCGGUUCACGGGCGUUACAAUUCUCCCCCACUAACAUAGAUUCGUCCUCGAAUCUAGCUUCACCCUUCCACUCCGAAAAACUCUGUGCAACCAUCACUACGGUCCGCACUCCCUCCAACCAGACCCCCGCUAGGUCUCUCUAUCUAGUCGAUAUACUCACGAUUUACUAGU